rnacentral:lncRNA from 1 species
CUUCAAUUUUCCAGAUUUAAUGAGUGUCUUUUCAGAACAGAGGACUGUUACAAGAAUGGUGGAGAGAUAUCAGGAAGGUCAUUCCCCUUUCCCCUGGGGAGCUUUAAGCAUGUAUAGUUAGGAUGAAUCACUUAUAUCCAUGCACAAUUAAAUAGGUCUGCUGCAGAGCAACCUGUGAACAAAUGCGGGUCAAAAUAUCAGUAUGUGUAUCCAUGUUGAAGUGAUGCUGAUAAACAGGAAUAAAAAGAAUCAGGUGGAAGGUUUUCAAAACAGUAUCAGUAAAACUGAUGAACUUAAUUUCAUGGGGAGGAAAGGGUAAAAUAUUCUAGCAUAUGCAAAGUUAUGGAAGUAGAAGCAAAUACUUCAUCACAGUCUACCUCAUCACAGUGGAAUAGUAUGUUUUAUUAUUAUAAUCGUUAUUAGUAUUCCUAUUUGAGAAUGGGAGAUGGCUGAACAUGUAAAUUAACCUGCCCCAAGUCACAUAGUGAGUUACCAGUGCAGCUAAAAUAAGUGAUAUUUUAGGAACAGUUUACAUCAUGAAACACUGAAGCUGUAUAUUUUUUCAAUAAAUGAUAGUACUCUAGGUAGUUCUUAGACAACAAUGAGUAGAAACUAAACUAUAUUUUUAAAGGGCUUACUUAAUAAAUAUUGCAAAAGAUAGGGCAAAGAGCUUUCUUAUUCCCCUAGUGAAGAAAGCCAGGGUAUUUUUUUAAAGGAAGAAGAAUCAUUAACAGUAUUUCCUGAAGGAGAAUAAAGCCUUCCAGCCUGCAUCAGAAUUCCACAUUACUACCCGAAUUCUAAGAUUAAGGGUGUGUUUUACCCACACCCUAGAUUUUUGGGAACACAGGCUCAGCAUUAUGUAAGGUCCACUAAGGAGGAUAAUGUGACUCUUCUCUUUACGGGAAAGCCCUUAUCCUGAUCUUAUAUAUAUAUAUAUAUCAUAUAUAUAUCAUAUAUAAAAAUCAUAUAUGAGUCAUAUAUAUCAUAUAUAUGAUUCUAUCUAUAUAGCAAUAUAUAGAUAUAUAUUUCUAUAUAUAAAUAUAGAAAUUAUAUAUAUAUAUAUAUUUCUUUUUUAAAUGCACUUUAUCCUUUAGCCAAACUGCCAGAUCACUCAGAUUGGCACACAUCUAUUUAUCUCUACUGUCAGCUCCUGUAAAUGGUAGCAUUUACCCAAGACAGAAAAAUCUCCUGGAAUAACCAGUAUACUUGUUUCAAUAAUCUGCAGAGCCAUA